AGUCGAAAUAGAUUAAGGGUUUUGAUCCCAAACUUGGUGGUUGAUAAAAAAGGUAGUUAGUUGUAAGAUAGUACUCAGUAUCGGUAGCUCUAUCAAGUUUGAGAGUUUAAAGUUUCAUAUUCAAACUUUGGAGAAGGAACUUAUAAAUCUGUUCUUUGUAGACAGCAUCGGUCUGUGGUUCGCUCUUCCAAUGUGAAAAGUUCAUCCUAAUCACUUUUUUGAGAGGACACAGCAUGUUAGGUGUAAGAAAGAGCACAGUGCGAAGCGUUUUAUUGGUUUGGUUGAACAUGUGUUCGAUAUGAGGGAUUUGCGAUACGAAAUUGUUAUGGUCCCUCAAAGUGGUCCCUUGUGUAUACUUAGGAGUAAAUUAAAGGCAUGCGUUUUUCGUGUUUAUUCUUUCUUUUAUUAAUUUUUUAAUCCAUUGACAUUAUGAUCAUAUCAUUCUCAUCCUAACCACCGGA
rnacentral:lncRNA from 1 species